AUGCAUGUCUCAGUACAGACCGAUAAUUUAAGGUGAAACCGCGAAUGGCUCAUUAAAUCAGUUAUGGUUCAUUGGAUCUUACCCAUCUUACAUGGAUAACUGUGGUAAUUCUAGAGCUAAUACAUGCAACAAAGCUCCGACCGCAAGGGAAGAGCGCUUUUAUUAGAUCAAAACCAAUCGGGCCUCGGUCCGUUUCCUUUGUGAUGACUCUGAAUAACUUUGGGCUGAGCGCAAGGUCUUUGCACCGGCGCCGCAUCUUUCAAGUGUCUGCCUUAUCAGCUUUCGAUUGUAGGUUACGCGCCUACAAUGGCUAUAACGGGUAACGGGGAAUCAGGGUUCGAUUCCGGAGAGGGAGCCUGAGAAACGGCUACCACA
rnacentral:rRNA from 3 species